GAGAGAGAGAGAGAGAGAGAUACAUUUAUUCAAUCAUGUAACCAAUACAGUUGUUGAUCUUGUCAAACACAAUUCAUUUACAAAGGUAAAUUAUUCCAUAUUGACAACAAACUAUAUGUAACAUUUCUCUGCAAGUAUGAGAAGUUUGGCUUAUCCUCAAUUAAACAAUUUUUCCCUCUGGUGUUAUAGGGAUGUUCUAUAUUUUUGAAUUCAGAACGAUUAUUAAUGACAAACAUUACACACUCAUAUAUAUACAAACUGUAAAGGGUUAAUAUACUAAAGUUUUUAAAUAUAGUUUUACAGGUU